CAUCCCGAUUUCCAACCUGCAAAAUUGCAAGUCCUGGUGUGAAGCCUGGAAACUUCUCCUUCAUCUCAGCAACUUGCUUCUUUAAUCUCUCUCUCACUUGUGCGGAGACGACUUUGCCGCUGAGGACCUCUGCGGGGGCCAUGGCGAAGGCGGGAGGCAGCAGCCAAAGGCGGCGGGGCUCUGGGGUGCUCUGCAGGACACGCCGUCCCCUCCACAACCCUAUCCUGCGGCCCACGUGGGCGCUAAACUUUCAGUAGCAACCACCGCGCAAGCGCUGCCCCACCCCGGCGGGCUGGUGUGCUGUGCGUGUCCCUCCCCUGCGUUUUUUACCGCCUUGAGGCUGAGGCGAGCGGGUUGUGGCUCGGCGAGAUGGCCGCUGCUCAGCUGUGCGGUGCCGGCCUUACUGCUGCGCGUUCGCUGGCUCUGCGCAGAGGCGGUCUGGGCACAGGGACGGGAAAGCCGCCAUUGUGGCGGGCUUUGUGCUCUGUGGGGGAGCACACAGAUUGCUGGUCACGUAUUUAAUAAAAUUGUAAGUCAGCUUAUGGAUAACUUCAGUAUGUUAUGGCCUGAGGUUGCAGGUAGCUACUAUGGGACUCUUCAGAUUUUGCUAAGAGUAAAGGGUUUUUUAUUCAGCAGUUUUUAUCCCUCAGAGGGAUAUCCUUUAAGCAAGCAAUGGUGCUGAGGCUGAGGAAGGUGUUUCCUUGUGAGGCAGGCUGCUCUGAUCUGUGAGUUCUCUGUUUUAUGUAACCAAUGCUUUUCGUUAAUCUGCAGGUGAGUGUAAGCUGCGAGAAUCAGCUUUCAGUGCUUUUCUCCUGGGGAUAGGAAAAUCAGUUGGAUACCAUACCCUGAGGCUGCCUUGUUUGUAAUGCCAGGGCCCCAAGGAGAUCACAACUCAUUGGUUUGUUCUGCUGAUAUCUAGCACGUGGGACAUGGUUCAAGAAAACAGUGAUGAGGCCAGGGAACUGACAAAUCACAGUUGGUGAUGGGAUGGAGCAGUAGUAUGUUCCCAUCCUACUGUAAGGCUUUAUUCCUGUUACUGUUUUGGGACGCAUCUGCCUCAUGUGGUGCCAGUGGAGCAAAGAAACUGGAUGACCACUGCAGGUUCACAAAGUGUGGAGUACAGGGGUUUGGUGCUAGUGCAGCAAAGGUCCCAGUGAGAAUUUAGAACUCAAAAAAGCCUGUUUGAAGUGCGUUUUGGAAAAGAAAGUUGCUGUUCUAAAGGGUUUGCUGAGAAGGCAUUCAAUCCUGUUACACCGCUGCAUCAUGCAUCUCAGUGCUGUAAUCAGGUCAAGAUUGGAUUUGGGGAUCUGUCUGAUUUUGAGAAGAGUGGAGUACAGACAUUGCAGCUUCCAUCUAGCUCACAAAAUGAUGAGGAUGGAAAUAUAUAGGCCCUUCUGCUUUAGAAGCUCAGAACCUCCAGGGCUGCUUCUCUGGAAUUCUGGAAGGGGAAUAUAUACCAUAUAUUGUUCAAAACUUGUCUGAGGAUAAGUCUUUCUUGUGUGUUUCCUUUUGUAGCAUAUGGGGUGAUGACUGUUCUGCCUUUUUUUCUGCUUUCUUUUCUUAUUGAGGGAAAGCUGGUUAUUUCAAGUGGUCAAACCAGCCAAAGUUAAAAACAUUUCAAUUGUAGGAAUGAAGGUCAGAAAUUUCUCUUUAAAACUGACUUGGAAAAAAAGGGAAAACUGGAUUUGGGGGUUUUUAUAUGCUAAAAAAAGGCUAGAAGUAACUUUUUUAAAAAUUAUUUUUGGUCUUUCUGUAGCUAUUCCUUGUAUUUCCUGGACUGUUCCAAUAGGCAGUUCUAGUAUUAUAUGAUCAAAACUGAAAUAAUACAGUUAACUGAGGGAAGGGAUUUUUCUCAGCUGCUUAAAAUUCUGCGCCUUAUUUGUUUCUUCUGUUGCUUUUAUCUGAGGCCUGAAUGAACUCUUGGAGAAGGAAAGAAAAGUGUUUUGAGAAAAGUGCAAAAGACAGACUCUUUCAGUUGAGGAUAGCACAGGCUUGCAAAAACAACUUUUGCUAAAAAAAAGAUUUGACACUGAAGAUGAUAGUGUGUAAGUAUCAGCAGGAAAAGAAAGCCCACUUAUUUAGAAAUAUUCCAUGCCGUCAGAAGCUGUAGAUUCCAACCCAGAGUUGCAAGCUUGCACAGUUUGUGUCUUUACUUCUCUCUGCUUUUCUCAGUGGCCCUGCUCCUGAAAAAAAAGGUGUCUCGCAAUGACGCAUAAAGCUUUGAAAAUGAGCUGGACAGUAAAAGUAAUACCAAACAAACAACUUCUUUUAUCAUCUCAUUUUGUUUGAACCAGAUUCUCUUUUCAUGAGAAGGAACAGACUCAUGAAUUUUAAAUAUUUAUGACAGAAAAUCAGACUACCUAAACUCCUUUUAUCACAGCAGAAAAAUCUUUGUUAUUUCUAACUUGUUCCAUGCAGCAGUCAAGUACCAAAGCUGAGAUUGUCACUCAGAAGCUGUGUGUCAUACAUUUAUGUAACAGCUUGUUCUUUAACAUUUAAUCUUAAUUGUCAUCUUGAAGUUGAAAUACUGGGAAUGAGAUGGGAAGGGAACAGAAAAGGGGUUAUAUGAUGAGAAAUGGCUAAACAGACCUUUUCAGUUCUUGUUAGAGCCAAAUCCAGCCCUGGAAUGAAGAAAAAACUUAGAGCUGCUGUUGUAAAGGAAAUUUUGGAGAAACACAUUGGCAAAGGAAACAAAUGUGAAAAUAUGUACAGUUGAGAGCAACAAUCAGUGUUUUAUGCUUUCAAUACAAUUAUUUUGACCAUGCUUAUGCAAAACAAUAAGGAAAAAAAUCUAAUGCUGUGGUAAGGGCAGCUCUGAGAAUGAUAAGCACAGUCUUGUAUCAAAGAAGGCUUAUUUUCUGUUGACUGUUAGGAUGAAGGUAAAAACAGUUACUUGAAGCCUCAGAGAGAUCUCUGCUCUGGAAUACAACUCCAGAGCAGCUGUUCUACCUCACUCACCUCCCUGCCAGGCGUCCCUGGGUUUGAUUUGGUAACUGCCACAUUUUGACUGUUUACUCUUGUAUCCACCCCCUCUUACCUAACAUGUCAAAAGUCAUAGAGGUUGCUCUUUAAAGAAGCCAUGAAGGCUGCAAAAUGUGUGCCAGA
rnacentral:lncRNA from 1 species